CGAUAUUAAUUAUUGAUUUCUAUUCAUUAAUUUAUCGAUUCUUAAUAAAUUUAUUUCAUAAGGAAUAUCUACACUUACACAUACAUAGCGUUAUUAUAUAUACACUGUAUACAGAUCCAUGCAGAAAUGUAUAAGACGUACAUAACCUCUACAUUAAUUAUUUAUGUUAAGCGUCGAUCAAAAAUUUCUUUGACUCACGGUCCAUUAUAAUUUGUUAUUAUUACUUUUUUUUUAAUUCGAAAAUGUGCGAAAUUGAAAUUAUACUGUAAAAAUAUAUUUUGAGGUAUAUAAAUAUUGGAUUUAAUAUAACAAAAAAGUGUGAUGCUUGUUCUUCGUGGAAUUCAAAAUACAAAUUCCUUUAUUUUACUGGGUGGCCUUCUUCUAUGUCUUGUGUUAACAAUUCAAAUCAAACAAAUUUAUAUCAAUAAUCAAAAAUAUAAUCGUUAUUUAGGAUACGAACAAUAUAUCAAUGAAAUAUCCAAAGAAUUGAAGAUGGUUGAAAAGACUGCCAAUAAAUCGUCGAUAUAUGUACAUCAUUUAAAUGAGAUACUUUUUAAACAUCGUGAAAAAGAUAUGAAAAAUGCUUCGCUAUCACGAAUAGCAAAAUUAAUACGAGGAGAAACAAGCUGAAAUAAAUCAAAGAGAUGUAACAAGAUAUUUUUUAAAUAUUUUU